CGCGCCAGCAGUGGAAGCAACAGCCCGCCGAGCUCUAUUUCCUGAAACUACUGAGAGUCCCAAGGCUCCGAUGACCACACAGCAGGACGAGGAAGACGCCCCAGAGCCGUUGCUGCACCCUAAAAACAAAAGGCCAAAGCGAACAACUGUACAAGAUUCCCAGGAACAGACCACUCGCGCAACUACCCUA